GACGAACGCUGGCGGCGUGCUUAACACAUGCAAGUCGAACGGAAAGGCCCUGCUUUUGUGGGGUGCUCGAGUGGCGAACGGGUGAGUAACACGUGAGUAACCUGCCCUUGACUUUGGGAUAACUUCAGGAAACUGGGGCUAAUACCGGAUAGGAGCUCCUGCUGCAUGGUGGGGGUUGGAAAGUUUCGGCGGUUGGGGAUGGACUCGCGGCUUAUCAGCUUGUUGGUGGGGUAGUGACUUACCAAGGCUUUGACGGGUAGCCGGCCUGAGAGGGUGACCGGCCACAUUGGGACUGAGAUACGGCCCAGACUCCUACGGGAGGCAGCAGUGGGGAAUAUUGCACAAUGGGCGGAAGCCUGAUGCGGCAACGCCGCGUGCGGGAUGACGGCCUUCGGGUUGUAAACCGCUUUCGCCUGUGACGAAGCGUGAGUGACGGUAAUGGGUAAAGAAGCACCGGCUAACUACGUG
rnacentral:rRNA from 1 species